UCUGCGUUGCACUGACGUCACCUAUCCUCGCCUGCCGGUCUUUAUUUGUUCCUCGUCGCGUUUCAUCGUUCCUGGUUAUUAUUCUGCUUUAAAUCCAGAUUUCGGCUCCGCGAGCAGCCGUUUUUAACCGCACGUGGUGUUCGUGAGAGCAGGAUGGGUCCAGUAGAGCUCCUCCACAUGUCCGUCUUCUCCCAGAGUUUCUCCCCGUGCGGACGCUACCUGGCGGCGGGAAACAACUACGGAGAGAUCGCUCUGUUCAGCCUGUCUGCAGCUCUGAGUCCGGACGCCACCGCGCUGAGUCAGAAACCGGUCCUCACCUUCACAGGUGAGU